rnacentral:rRNA from 1 species
GACGAACGCUGGCGGCGUGCUUAACACAUGCAAGUCGAACGAGAAAGCCCUUCGGGGUAAGUACAGUGGCGAACGGGUGAGUAACACGUGGGCAACCUGCCCCAGAGAGCGGGACAACCCGGGGAAACCCGGGCUAAUACCGCAUGAUGCGUCUCCACUUAAGUGGAGCCGCCAAAUGGUAGCUUCGGCCUCCGCUCUGGGAUGGGCCCGCGCCGGAGUAGCUAGUUGGUUGGGGUAACGGCCCACCAAGGCGACGAUCCGUAGCUGGUCUGAGAGGACGAUCAGCCACACUGGGACUGAGACACGGCCCAGAAUCCUACGGGAGGCAGCAGUGGGGAAGCUUGCGAAAUGGGCGAAAGCCUGACGCAGCAACGCCGCGUGGGGGAAGAAGGCCUUCGGGUUGUAAACCUCUUUCAGUAGGGACGAAGCUUCCGGGGUUAAUAGCCUACGGGGUGACGGUACCUACAGAAGAAGCCCCGGCUAACUACGUGCCAGCCGCCGCCGUAA